CUUCCCGUGAACAAACCACCACCACCACGAAAAUUUUGGCUUGUUGAACACCAAAACCACAUUUAUCUGCAUGUCCUCACCACCAUAAACUCUGUUGUGAUUUUUGUUUCAUUGAAAACGAACCCGAAACACGAGUUCGAAGAACAAGGUUUUGGGCCGAGAGUCGAGACUUAUAGGUGUGAUUCAGAUAAUUUUUCAACCAUCUUUUGAACUCAAAGCAGUUUCCGGCGAAACCGUAACCUUCCAGAUCAUUUUUCAGCCAAACCAUGGUGAGUUAGCCAUCAAGAAAGCGAGUUACUCGUUUUCUCGCGGACAGCCAUUUUCCUGCCACCAUUUGGGCUUCAAGCAGGCGACGAUCGGAUGUGGAUGCCUCAAUAUUCGAGCUAGGGAUUCGUAGUGCGGGCUCCAGGUUAUUGUUUGCCCAUUGCACCAUUCCCAUGGUGUAUGGACGAUUGUGCGAGUUUUAGUAGAUACGAGGAGCUUUGGGGUAGCAGACAGAGUUCAGAGAGCUUGAAGUGU